UGGGGAAUUUUGGACAAUGGGCGAAAGCCUGAUCCAGCCAUGCCGCGUGAGUGAAGAAGGCCUUCGGGUUGUAAAGCUCUUUUAGUCGGAAAGAAAGAGUUGCAAUGAAUAAUUGUGAUUUAUGACGGUACCGACAGAAAAAGCACCGGCUAACUACGUGCCAGCAGCCGCGGUAAUACGUAGGGGGCGAGCGUUAAUCGGAAUUACUGGGCGUAAAGGGUGCGCAGGCGGUUUUGUAAGUCAGAUGUGAAAUCCCCGGGCUUAACCUGGGAAUUGCGUUUGAAACUGCAAGACUAGAGUGCAGCAGAGGGGAGUGGAAUUCCAUGUGUAGCAGUGAAAUGCGUAGAGAUGUGGAAGAACACCGAUGGCGAAGGCAGCUCCCUGGGUUGACACUGACGCUCAUGCACGAAAGCGUGGGGAGCAAACA
rnacentral:rRNA from 1 species